rnacentral:lncRNA from 1 species
CUAACGUGCUUCGUUCCUGGAAGCUUCAUUUCUCCUUUCUCACGCGCCGCCGUUGGACUCUUCAGCUAUAUAUACCAUUUGCGCGCCCCAUUUCCUGUUCCAUUCCGAAUCCUUCAUUUUCUCUUAGAAUUCAUACCACUGGUUUGAAAAAUUGUUCUAAAAGUUUCGUUCCCUGUACCGAAUCUAUUGCUUAAUCGAAGAUGAAUUCAAUGUCGAGCGCUAAAUCGUUCAGUUUCUCCAUUAUUGGAUUUAUGCUGAUGGCACUAAUCCAAUACAGUUUCGGACAAGAAAUGGCGCCGUCGCCGGCACCGAUUGGUCCUUCCAACGAUGGUGAGUUUUUCAUCGGAAAUUUAUAUUUCUCUAUUAUUAAAAUAAUUAUUUUUGUGGUUUCAAAAACCAAAAAAAUCUAAAAUCAUGUUACAUAUAUCCAAGCUCAAAUUUAGACUCAAAUUCUGAUGAGACGUGUGGACGUAAUCAAAAUCAACCUAUCAUUUUCUGACUCCUCUGUUCUUAAGCCUGACUUUAUUCAUCUUCGUAUUCUUAUUUAAAUUGUUAAAAUUAGUAAAAAUUUACCAAAUAAUUAUUUGCUUUGUUUACGACAGCAAUUAAUUAAAAUUCAUUGAUUUUUUUUAUUUUAUUUUUUAUGUAGGCACAGCAAUUGAUCAAGGGAUUGCAUACGUUCUCCUGUUUGUAGCACUCGCGAUUACAUACAUAGUCCACUAAUGAUACCAUUUUUUUUUUCUGUUGAAAUUGUAUUGUUGUUGCAAUUUUAAUUCAUUCUUUCAUGUAUUUUCUCCUAUUAUUUUGAGAGCAUAAAUUUAAUUAUUUUUAUUUUUCACCACUUGUAAAGAAAUAUAUUCAUUAGAAUAAUGCACAGUGGAUUGCAAUUCCAAUUUAGGAGGGGCUUAAACUGGGAUUACAUUAUUGAUUAAAUGAAAGGUAAAUUUAAUCAAUUAAUGUCACAUUAACCUUAUCUAAACUGGAAUUGCAACUCAAUAACUUUAAAUAGCAUUAUUCCAUUCAUUAGAGGAGAUCCAAUAACUUCCCCAUAAUAUAAAGAAACGGAUUGAUUAUUAGAUUCUAAAUGCAAUGUAGUAGAAUGAUUAAGAAAG